rnacentral:piRNA from 1 species
UNGACCUGCGACAUAAGCUCAACCUUCGGGUC